GAUACUUGGUGUGAUUGCAGAAUCCCGUGAAUCAUCGAGUUUUUGAACGCAAGUUGCGCCCGAAGCCUUUCGGCCGAGGGCACGCCUGCCUGGGUGUCA
rnacentral:rRNA from 1 species